rnacentral:lncRNA from 1 species
GGUAGUCUCCAAGGGCUAGGAUUACAGUCAUGCUACCACACCCAGUUCUACGUGUUUAUCUCAGAGUCGUCUGCAGCUCUGCUAACAUGACACCACUACAGAGUCGUCCGCUGCGUGUGAAGUGGGACUCUGCACUGUGUGCAAGAACCUGGAUUGUGAGCAUCAGGACUCAGGGCAGAAGAGAAUUGCAAGUAAAGAGUGAGAUGCCAGAAACCAUCCGGCCACUUUCAUCCAAUCACUUCCCACCACUUGCUCAUCGAGGUGGUGUGUGCUCCCAGACAGCCACCUGCUCAACUUUCCACUGCGUGGAAUCCCAGCUCCUUAAUCAAAACGAAACAAAAGGAUGUCUCUCUUCGGGGUGAUGAUACGAUGCACUUUCCUGCGCUCCGAGGUACCACCACGGAGAGAUGGGCAUCCUGGCGCCAGAGUGUCCUCUGAGGCUGGGCUGCCUGGGUCAGAAAGAGACAUCAGAGAUUAUAUAAUCAAGUCCUACGUUGGAUAGAGAAGAAAGCCUGAAGCCCAGAGCAGACUCGAGACUUGCCAAGGUCAUAUGAGUUUUUAAUGAACAUUUCAUUUGUGUAAAUAAAGAGGCAGCGCACAACAAGAACCACUCAUCAAAAGUCUGAUAUUUUCCUUAGAAAUAAAGACAAACAUUGUGCCUCUUAAAUGCGG